rnacentral:rRNA from 1 species
CCAGACUCCUACGGGAGGCAGCAGUGGGGGAUAUUGCACAAUGGGGGGAACCCUGAUGCAGCGACGCCGCGUGGGUGAAGAAGCGCCUCGGCGCGUAAAGCCCUGUCAGCAGGGAAGAAAAUGACGGUACCUGAAGAAGAAGCCCCGGCUAACUACGUGCCAGCAGCCGCGGUAAUACGUAGGGGGCAAGCGUUAUCCGGAAUCACUGGGUGUAAAGGGAGCGUAGGCGGCUGUGCAAGCCUGAAGUGAAAGGCGGGGGCCCAACCCCCGGACUGCUUUGGGAACUGUACGGCUGGAGUGCAGGAGAGGUAAGUGGAAUUCCUAGUGUAGCGGUGAAAUGCGUAGAGAUUAGGAAGAACACCAGUGGCGAAGGCGAUUCUCUGGACUGUAACUGACGCUGAGGCUCGAAAGCGUGGGGAGCAAACAGGAUUAGAUACCCUGGUAC